GACUAUCUAGUUCGAAUACUGACGCUGAGACACGAAAAGUGUGGGGAGCAAACAGGAUUAGAUACCCUGGUAGUCCACACCGUAAACGAUGAGUGCUAGAUGUUAGAUUAUUUUAAUUUAGUAUCGUAGCUAACGCAUUAAGCACUCCGCCUGGGGAGUACGAUCGCAAGAUUAAAACUCAAAGGAAUUGACGGGGACCUGCACAAGCGGUGGAGCAUGUUAUUUAAUUCGAUGCAACGCGAAAAACCUUACCACUCCUUGACAUAAGAGCAGCCCUUUCUUUAAGAAGAAAGUUCAGUUAGGCUGGGCUCUGUACAGGUGUUGCAUGGCUGUCGUCAGCUCGUGUCGUGAGAUGUUAGGUUAAGUCCUGUAACGAGCGCAACCCUUAUCCUUAUUUACUAACAAGUUAUGUUGAGUUCUAUAGGGAAACUGCCAGUGACAAGCUGGAGGAAGGCGAGGACGAGGUCAAGUCAUCAUGGCCCUUAUGGGGUGGGCUAUAAACGUGCUACAAUGGCAAUUACAAUGGGCUGCGAAACUGUGAAGUUAAGCCAAUCCCUAAAAAUUGUCCUAGUUCGGAUUGCUCUCUGCAACUCGAGAGCAUGAAGCUGGAAUCGCUAGUAAUCUCGGAUCAGCAUGUCGAGGUGAAUACGUUCUCAGGUCUUGUACACACUGCCCGUCACACCAUGGGAAUUGGUUUAGCUCGAAAACAGUGCGCCAACCGAAAGGAAGCAGCUGUUUAAGGCGAAAUUAGUGACUAGGGUGAAGUCGUAACAAGGUAACCA
rnacentral:rRNA from 1 species